rnacentral:rRNA from 1 species
GUCCACGCCGUAAACGAUGUCUACUAGCCGUUGGGAGACUUGAUUUCUUAGUGGCGCAGCUAACGCUUUAAGUAGACCGCCUGGGGAGUACGGCCGCAAGGUUAAAACUCAAAUGAAUUGACGGGGCCCGCACAAGCGGUGGAGCAUGUGGUUUAAUUCGAUGCAACGCGAAGAACCUUACCAGGUCUUGACAUCCAGAGAACUUGGCAGAGAUGCCUUGGUGCCUUCGGGAGCUCUGAGACAGGUGCUGCAUGGCUGUCGU